GACGAACGCUGGCGGCGUGCUUAACACAUGCAAGUCGAACGGUAAGGCCCUCCGGGGUACACGAGUGGCGAACGGGUGAGUAACACGUGGGUGAUCUGCCCUGCACUUCGGGAUAAGCCUGGGAAACUGGGUCUAAUACCGGAUAGGACCCUGGGAUGCAUGUCCUGGGGUGGAAAGCUUUUGCGGUGUGGGAUGGGCCCGCGGCCUAUCAGCUUGUUGGUGGGGUGAUGGCCCACCAAGGCGACGACGGGUAGCCGGCCUGAGAGGGUGACCGGCCACACUGGGACUGAGAUACGGCCCAGACUCCUACGGGAGGCAGCAGUGGAGAAUAUUGCACAAUGGGCGCAAGCCUGAUGCAGCGACGCCGCGUGAGGGAUGACGGCCUUCGGGUUGUAAACCUCUUUCAGCACCGACGAAGCGCAAGUGACGGUAGGUGCAGAAGAAGGACCGGCCAACUACGUGCCAGCCGCCGCGGUAA
rnacentral:rRNA from 1 species